GAGAACCAAUUCAUAACCUUGUACUUCCCAUGCAUGUAACUGUAACAACCAAAUGUUCUGACAACAUGAUAUUGUGUAUCGAUGAAAAUAACUACACAUGCACGCACAAACUGAUAUGUACAGCACUUGGCCGAUGGGGCCACCAUGUCUAAAAUCAGGACACUACCGUAACUUUACAUUAGUCUACAAAGCCUCUAAAAGAUACAUAGACUUAGUUAGGGUCGGGACAACCCCC
rnacentral:lncRNA from 1 species